CCUACGGGAGGCAGCAGUGAGGAAUAUUGGUCAAUGGCCGGGAGGCUGAACCAGCCAAGUCGCGUGAGGGAAGACGGCCCUACGGGUUGUAACCCUCUUUUGUCAGGAAGCAAGGUGCAGGUUGGGACCUGCUGUGAGAGUACCUGCAGAAAAAGCAUCGGCUAAGUCCGUGCCAGCAGCCGCGGUAAUACGGAGGAGGCGAUCGUUAUCCGGAUUUAAUGGGUUUAAAGGGUGCGCAGGCGGAGGCACAAGUCAGCGGUAAAAUCGCGGGGCUCAACCCCGCGCCGCCGUUGAAACUGUGUCCGUUGAGUGCGCGAAGGGUAGGCGGAAUGCGUGGUGUAGCGGUGAAAUGCAUAGAUAUCACGCAGAACUCCGAUCGCGAAGGCAACCUACCGGCGCGCAACUGACGCUCAUGCACGAAAGCGUGGGUAUCGAACAGGAUUAGAUACCCGGGUAGUC
rnacentral:rRNA from 1 species